UCCUUAGUAGCUCAGAGGAAGAGCAUCCGGCUGUUAACCGGAAGUUCGUAGGUUCGAUUCCUACCUAGGGAG
rnacentral:tRNA from 1 species